rnacentral:tRNA from 3 species
GCGGGAUUGGUAUAGCGGCCGUGCCCCAGCUUCCCAAGCUGGUGACAGGGGUUCAACUCCCCUAUCCCGCU